CCUACGGGAGGCAGCAGUGAGGAAUAUUGGUCAAUGGACGCAAGUCUGAACCAGCCAUGCCGCGUGCAGGAUGACGGCUCUCUGAGUUGUAAACUGCUUUUGUACGAGGGUAAACCCCGAUACGUGUAUCGGGUUGACAGUAUCGUACGAUUAAGGGUCGGCUAAAUCCGUGCCAGCAGCCGCGGUAAUACGGAGGAUCCGAGCGUUAUCCGGAUUUAUUGGGUUUACAGGGUGCGUAGGCGGUUUGAUAAGUGGGAGGUGAAAUGUCGGGGCUCAACCCCGAAACUGCCUCUAAUACUGGUGGACGAGAGAAUAGUAGCGGUAGGCGGAAUGUAUGGUGUAGCGGUGAAAUGCUUAGAGAUCAUACAGAACACCGAUUGCGAAGGCAGCUUACCAAACUAUAUCUGACGUUGAGGCACGAAAGCGUGGGUAGCAAACAGGAUUAGAUACCCCAGUAGUC
rnacentral:rRNA from 1 species